UACGUAGGCAGCGAGCGUUGUUCGGAAUUACUGGGCGUAAAGAGUGUGUAGGCGGUGCUCCCAGUCUGUUGUGAAAUCUCCCGGCUUAACUGGGAGGGUGCAGCGGAAACUAGAGUGCUAGAGGGUGGGAGAGGUAAGCGGAAUUCCUGGUGUAGCGGUGAAAUGCGUAGAUAUCAGGAGGAACACCUGUGGUGUAGACAGCUUACUGGACCACUCCUGACGCUGAGACACGAAAGCGUGGGUAGCAAACAGG
rnacentral:rRNA from 1 species